UACGUAGGGGGCUAGCGUUGUCCGGAAUCAUUGGGCGUAAAGCGCGUGUAGGCGGUUCGGUAAGUCCGCUGUGAAAGUCGGGGGCUCAACCCUCGAAUGCCGGUGGAAACUGUCAGGCUCGAGUCCGGAAGAGGCGAGUGGAAUUCCUGGUGUAGCGGUGAAAUGCGCAGAUAUCAGGAGGAACACCAAUGGCGAAGGCAGCUCGCUGGGACGGUACUGACGCUGAGACGCGAAAGCGUGGGGAGCAAACAGG
rnacentral:rRNA from 1 species